GCCCCCUAAGCUCAGUGGAGGAGCAAUUGUUUCCUAAACAAUAGGCCACUGGUUCGAAUCCAGUAGGGGGCA
rnacentral:tRNA from 1 species